rnacentral:rRNA from 1 species
UACGGAGGGGGCUAGCGUUUUUCGGAAUUACUGGGCGUAAAGCGCGCGUAGGCGGACCUGCAAGACGGGGGUGAAAGCCCGAGGCUCAACCUCGGAACUGCCUUCGAUACUGCGGGUCUCGAGUCCGGGAGAGGUGAGUGGAAUUCCUAGUGUAGAGGUGAAAUUCGUAGAUAUUAGGAAGAACACCAGUGGCGAAGGCGGCUCACUGGCCCGGUACUGACGCUGAGGCGCGAAAGCGUGGGGAGCAAACAGG